CAACACGUUAUCAGCACGAUUGUUCUAUUUCCAUUUUCGAGUAAAGAUGAUCCAAAGAAGAUAAUUACUUCUCAACCAUGGAAGAUGAAAAGGGAGUUGAUUUCAAAUAUUUUAUUAUUUUUAAAUUGAUUAAAUAUUAAUCAUCUUAAUUUUGUUGUAGGUGAAUUUUCGUGCAAUUCACGAGUCUGUACUUCGAUGUCUGUUUUGGACUUGAUAAUGUCCGAAUUGCAGAAAAUGCAAAAUACGAAACUUGUAGCAUUUUCUAUUGGCUGUUCGGAACAUUUUGAAUCAUCAAAAUCGGAUCUCGAUCAAGAGAGAUAUGCUUAAAAU
rnacentral:lncRNA from 1 species